UGGGGAAUAUUGCGCAAUGGGCGAAAGCCUGACGCAGCGACGCCGCGUGAGGGAUGAAGGUUUUCGGAUCGUAAACCUCUGUCAGAAGGGAAGAAACCGCACUGUGCUAAUCAGCAGUGCCUUGACGGUACCUUCAAAGGAAGCACCGGCUAACUCCGUGCCAGCAGCCGCGGUAAUACGGAGGGUGCAAGCGUUAAUCGGAAUUACUGGGCGUAAAGCGCACGUAGGCUGCUUUGUAAGUCAGGGGUGAAAUCCCACGGCUCAACCGUGGAACUGCCUUUGAGACUGCUUAGCUUGAAUCCGGGAGAGGGUGGCGGAAUUCCAGGUGUAGGAGUGAAAUCCGUAGAUAUCUGGAGGAACAUCAGUGGCGAAGGCGGCCACCUGGACCGGUAUUGACGCUGAGGUGCGAAAGCGUGGGGAGCAAACAGG
rnacentral:rRNA from 1 species